rnacentral:rRNA from 1 species
UACGAAGGGGGCUAGCGUUGUUCGGAUUUACUGGGCGUAAAGGGCGCGUAGGCGGCCUCCGCAAGUCAGUUGUGAAAUCUCCGAGCUUAACUCGGAAAGGUCAACUGAUACUGCGGGGCUAGAGUGCGGAAGGGGCAACUGGAAUUCUUGGUGUAGCGGUGAAAUGCGUAGAUAUCAAGAGGAACACCUGCGGCGAAGGCGGGUUGCUGGGCCGACACUGACGCUGAGGCGCGAAAGCUAGGGGAGCGAACGGG